CACCUUGGGAAGAACUGACUCUCACUCGCCUCUUUGAGCAGGGAUUUCAGAAACAUACACCCCAGUUUCAUUUAGGUGAUGGGAUAGAUUUCCUAAUUGGAACUAAUAUAUGAUCACGGUGAAAAUGUUCCCCAAGAGACGAGCCAGUGAGGCCAAAGCAAGCCCAACUAGAGAGCUAUACCGCUGCUCUGUCUGCUCAGCAUCAAGUGAGAGCUCUCUCACCAGAGGUGCAAAGCACUUGCCUUAAGGAAGAAGUGAAAGCAAAGAAGCUUUGAAUAAAUUCAGUGAAGAAGAAAGUCACAGAGUCAGUGCUUCUCACCAGCCUCCAUGUCAGUGAAUGCCCAUGGUCAGCACUAACCUUGUGCUGUAAAGUGUCCCACAGUUGACUUGAAAAAGGUUCGAGUCAACUGGCACCAACUGGGCCCUGCUGACACUAGACAGAAUUUACUUACAUUUCCUUCAUGGAGAAAGCUUCAUGGAAUACUGAGAAAAAUGUGUAUUCUUCAGUGUCUUGAUGGAAUGCUCUCUAUGUAGAUGUCUGGGUUCCAUUCAUCCAUUCUGGACGCCACUGAAUAGGAUGUUUUUCUCUUUUCCUGUUGGAAUGAUCUGUCUGUUGGUGAGAGUAUAUUGAAAUCAUCCACUAUCACUGUGUUGGGGUUAAUCUAGAAGUUUAUAGACAGUAAUUUGAUGAAACUGGAUGCUCCUAAAGUUGGUGUGCAUUGAGGCGACCAUAAGAAGCCCCCAAGUGUGUGGAAUCCUGAAUGAAUGUGUGUUGUUGAUAUGAGACGGCCAUGUCGAAGAUCAAGCCUCAUGGAAAAAUGCCACAGCCUUCUCCUCAGGGUCAGGCUUAGAGGGAUGGCAAGGUUUCCAUGUGCCAUGGCAGUGUGUAUGUUUAAAAUUGGAAUGUCUUUGCUGGGUGUGGUGGUGCACACCUUUAAUCACAGCAAGAGGGCAGGUUGCAGAGUGCAGGGUUCAGAGAGAAGGUUGCAGAGUGCAGGGUUCAGAGAAUAGGGGCAGGGGACAGGGGCCGGAAGCCAGAGGGCAGAGGGCAGAGGGCAGAGGGCAGAGG
rnacentral:lncRNA from 1 species